GGCAGCUCAGACUACUAGUCCAGGUAAGUGGGUAUUUCAAUUGCCUGGAAGUAUGUCCCCCAGCAAGGAGUGGAGUGACCCAUAGUGAAACAAUGUCUUUGCAGGAAAGUUGGGGGCAGCUCAGGCAACAAAUCCUGGAGUGGGGAAGUACUAAAUACCUAAGAAUAUGCCCAGAUGUGGACUGGAGGUAACACCACUGCACCAAGAUCUUGGGACCGGAAAGGUGGGGUGGCUCAGGCUGCUAAUCCAGUCUGGUGCAAAAGUGGUAGAUUUGACAGUGCCUGGAGGAGUCAUAGGCAGAGAAAUCCUGUGGCCCUUCACUGAGGGACACUACCGCCGUGAGAUUCUUGAAGGGGCCUUCUGAUUCUUCUAACCCUGGUGGAACUUAAUGGCAAGCUGCAUUACUGAGCAAAAUUCUUCUGCUUUCCUGUGGUUUGGAGAAAACUACUGCUUGUGAGACAUAGAGAAUGGAACAGCUUACCAGAAAGGUAAGAGGUUUCUAUUUUACAUGCCUGGCCUACAAGUGUGGAAAAUGCUGUGCCUGCAGGUUUGCCCCAGUGGAGAGAUCCUGGGAGCGGGACCUGCACAAGUAUGGAAGAGAGACAGGACCAUGAGCAGGCAAAGAGAAUUUACAGUUCAUACAAGGGACUCUGUAGUCUCUAAGAGCAGGACCUAACUGAUCAGAACAGAUGGCUCCAAAUGAACUAGGACUAAUGGAAGGGAAUUUGAAUGAAAAACUGGGAACUUUCAAGGAGAUGAAACUAGAAAAGUACUUUGGGAACAAAAUACAAUGUUUUCUGUAUUUGAAAAUUCAAUAGAUGAGCUUAAAAGACAAUGAUCUCUCCUGGGCACAGAAUUAGUACUUUAGAGGAAAUAUCUCACAACAGAGAAUUAAAAUAUAGAGGUAGAUAUCAGGUAGGAAAUGAUAGAGGUUGAAAGAUGGGUCCAUGAGAAACAUGCCAAAAAUUCUGAAAUAUAAAGAUGUAGAAAGAUUCUUAAAAAGAUUCCAGGCAGGGCGCGGUGGCUCACACCUGUAAUCCCAGCACUUUCGGAGCUGAGGCGGGCGGAUCAACAGAGGUCAGGAGUUACGAGACCAACCUGGCCAACAUGGCGAAACUCCAUCUCUACUAAAAAUAUGAAAAGUAGCCAGGUGUGGUGGCAUGUGCCUGUAAUUCCAAUUACUCAGGAGGCUGAGACGGAAGAAUCACUUGAACCCAGAAGGCAGAGGAGGUUGUAGUGAGCCGAGAUCACACCAGUGCCCUCCUGUCUGGGCCGCAAGAGUGAAACUCUGUCUCACACACACACACACACACACACGAAUGGAAGAUUCCAGUGGGUCUGGGGGCGAGGGUGGGUAACACAUAGUACUCAUAUAUGAAAAAAUAUCCAAAUAGAUUAGGAUAUCUUAGCAGCAGCACUAGAAACCAGAAGACAAUGGAACUAAUGGUAAGAAUCAUUAAGAGUGAAGAACUGUGAUCCAAUAAUUCAAUUUCCAGUCAAUUUUU
rnacentral:lncRNA from 1 species